rnacentral:lncRNA from 1 species
AAAAAAAAAAAAAAGGGAAAUGGCGAUUACUCAAUUUUGUGUAUGAGAAAUAAUUGUUGAAAGCAAUGUUAUUUGCUCAAUUACGUACAGUGGAAUCAAAUACAAUUACAAAUACAAAUCUUCUAACAAGGUGGAUUAUGCUUUUUCAAUCGUUUUACUUUUCUUGCGUCACUAGUUAGACAAUGUGGAUUACUUCUAACAAGGUGGAUUAUGCUUCUAACAAGGUGGAUUAUGCUUUUUCAAUCCACCUUGAUUACUUCUAACAAGGUGGAUUAUGCUUCUAACUAGGUGGAUUACUGCUAACAAGGUGGAUUACUUCCAACAAGGUGGAUUAUGCUUCUAACAAGGUGAAUUAUGCUUCUGGAUUAUGCUUUUUCAAUCAUUUUACUUAUUUACGCAAGUUAGACAAGGAUCAUCAUUGAUUUUUUGUCGACGUCGGAGUCUUAUAUUCUUUUUUUUUUGUGUGGUCAAAAAGA